rnacentral:sRNA from 1 species
GCCGGGCACAGUGGCUCAUGCCUGUAAUCCCAGCACUUUGGGAGGCUGAGGCGAGUGGAUCACUUGAGGUCAGGAGUUUGAGACCAGCCUGACUAACAUGGUGAAACCCUAUCUCUACUAAAAUUACAAAAAUUAGCUGGGCAUGGUGGUGGGCACCUAUAAUCCCAGCUACUCAGGAGGCUGAGGCAGGAGAAUCACUUGAACCCGGGAGGUGGAGAUCGCGCCAUUGCACUCCAGCCUGGGCAACAAAGUGAGACUCCACCUCA